rnacentral:rRNA from 1 species
CCUACGGGAGGCAGCAGUGAGGAAUAGUGGUCAAUGGGCGCGAGCCUGAACCAGCCAAGUAGCGUGAAGGAUGACUGCCCUACGGGUUGUAAACUUCUGUUAUAAAGGAAUAAAGUGAGGCACGUGUGCCUUGUUGUAUGUACUUUAUGAAUAAGGAACGGAUAAAUCCGUGCCAGCAGCCGCGGUAAUACGGAGGAUCAGAGCGUUAUCCGGAUUUAGUGGGUUUAAAGGGAGCGUAGAUGGGUUGUUAAGUAAGUGGUGACAGUUUGCGGCUCAACCGUAAAAUUGCAAUUGAUACUGGCAGCCUUGCGUACAGUUGAGGUAGGCGGAAUUCGUGGUGUAGCGG